rnacentral:lncRNA from 1 species
CCCUCGCUCUCCAUCUCGCUACUAUCUAGAUCUACUCUAGUUUAGAGAAGAGAGGAGAGAUCUCAUCUCCAAACCCUAGCUUUUGCUCUGUCUAUGAAUAAUGAAUAGGGAUGCAGAGGUGUCUUCUCCAAGGGCCAGGGGUCCUGCUUAUAUAGUCCUUCCAAAUGAACGUGGGCCGUCGGAUCAAACCGACCUUAAUCACAUGGUUUUCCUUAAUCCUUUAGGUCGGUGGAGCAUAAUCUGCGAGGCGGAGCCUCACUGGCUGCCAGAGUAGGGCGGGCACCCUAGGGGGGAGGGCGGGCGCCCUACCCUCGGGCCCGCUCGGCCUCUCGUUCGUUCCCGUGGCUUCUGGAGUCUUCUAGAUGAUAGAAAAUUGCCGUACACGUUAAUAUCUUUGUGUAAACCCGACGUGUGGGCCUUUCCUCCAUGUUUCCUAAUAGCCCCCUGUAGAAAUAGAAAAACACCAAAACUCGUGGAAUUCUGUCAGAUAAAACCCUAAGUCUAGGUGUUGGUUGCAUUUGGAUCAUUUUCUUUGUUUAUUUGAUGAUUAAAUUUGGUACUUAAGGACCGUCAACAACUCCCCCAAGCUUACCUCUUGCUCAUCCCUGAGAAAGGAUGGACUCAAGAGUUUCUGCAGUGGUUUCAUGCCUUAAGGGUACACAUGCAUUCAAACAAGAUCUCAUCUAUAGGUUAGGGUAAACUGUUAAGAUUUAAACUUACUCAUAUUACCAUCCACCAUGGGGCUUGUAACCGUCACUUGUGUCUUGAGUAGUUAAAGGAUAGAACGGUCAAGUCAAGCGCCAUGUCUCUUGUUCUUGAUCAACUAUAGCUCUGGAGUUUUUUUUGCAGAUUUUCAAAUAAAACUCAGAGAUUCCUUGUAUGACUCUCUCUAUUCUCUCUUUUGUGGUAUUUCUGGAUCCUUACCAAGGCAGUGAUGGUAUAUGCCUUCUCUCAAAGUAUGUAGUAUUUGUGGUAUAAGGCAUAGUGACAUUGCCUUCUCUCUCAUCCUACUCUAAUAAGGCUUUGAUAUCUGGAGCUCAUAGGUGGGAGAUAAAGUAUACAUACUUACAGGACAUUUAUUGCAUAGUCAAACCAUGGAUCCAGAAGAACAAGUCAAUAAGUCAAAUCAAGAUGUGCAUGUGUGGCGAAUGAAUGGUGAUAAUGGUGAAAAUAGUGGUGAAAGUCUAAUUCUACUUUUGCUCUUUUUAGGGGAUCCAUACCUUGCUUGCACUUUGAAGCUUUUUGAGGAGAAUGAGAUGCUCUAUAUAUUUUUUUCUUUUCUCUGAGGUGGGUAUCUUGUACCCCUAAUUCUACUGUCGGACACUUGUCCAUUUUUACCUCUCGUCUCACUUUUUCUUUUCUAUGAGGUUCCGGGCACUUGCCCCUUUUUAUUUCCUCGUAUUUUUCCUUUUUCUUCUAUCUUUUUUUAGAGCACUCACCCUCCUGGAAUAAUGUAGCAAGUGGUAGUAACCAAAAUAUCUCGAGCAUUUAUUUCACAUGGAAAAACAGGAAUGGGAUAAUGUUUUUGGCUAUUCUCUCCCGGAUAGGAGUAGAAUAAUUUUAGGUGAAUCUGGAGAUGGAAUUGAGUGGAUGUAUGCGGAUGCGUACUUCCGGAGUAGAAGUAGCUUGUAUGAGUGAACGUGCAAGUGAAUCUCUAUUUUAACCGCAUGACAAGCUCCUAAGGGUCUACACAGCUUGACCACACUCAAUGCUCAUAAGUAGUAAAAAGUAAAUGUAUGGUCCAUAGUCUAAUAAGCAUGUAUAUAUGGCUGUGGUAGGAUUUUAAACUCUCAUCAUACAGGAACUCAUCAUGCAACAUUUUAAAGAUUUUCAAAGAUAAAACUCUCCAGAAUUCUAGCAUCUCUAAGAACAGAUAAACAGCAGCUCAACCUUCCCAUAUCGUAUCCGUUAACGACUUAGACUUUAGAUCAAGUACUCUUCCCAUAAGUUCAGGUUUAGAGCAAUCUUUAAAUUAUAACAGUUAUGUCUAAACUUGGGAGAGAGAGCUCAAAUUUGAAAACUAGGUACUUGGUAGAGCAACUAUUCAUCAUAUCCAUGUAAGAGUUUAUCAUUAGAGUUCAAUUUGGCAUAGACACUUUAUUUAUUUAUUUAGCAAACUAAGCAAAGAUAUAUGCACAAAAUCUUUAUUUGGGUUUUUAUGAUUAUGCAUCUUUUUAUUAUUUUAACAAAGUGUAAGUAUAAACGUAGAUAGAAACACUUAGCUGGAUAAAAUGGGGGUGCUCUCUCCCAAGCUGGAUUUUGACGUAAUUUCUUUUGAUGCAGCUAGCAGGUGGCAGAGGUGUAUUUGAAUGUCGGCAGCACCCUGACAGCGAUUAGGAUGUCCUCCGUCUGCUAGUUUUCUUGAUCCUUGAAUUCUGUGGAGCUCAAAUAGACAACAAAGCUUUGUGGAACUAGUUAAGUGUUAGCAUAAAUAUCUAGCCUUUAUCAUGUUGAGCCUUCUCAAUAAAUGUUACUCUCUUUAGUAGGAUCACAAUCUUAUUUUUAUAUUUUCAUUUUAUAGGACAACAAUAUAUUUAUUUUAUUUUUACGCCACCAUAGUGAAUGUACUUAUGGGUUUUAUGCCACGAGCAUACUCACAUGGGGCUUACUAUUUUUAAUAUUUUUAUUUUCUUUGCAAGAUAGAAUGAUUAACUAACAAGCCAUUUAAGGAAAGUAAAUAAUUUAAGGGAAAAGUGAAUGCAGAAAGGAUAAAUAUGGAUAACUACCGAUUUUACCUUUCGGCGAGGGUUCAAUGUUUUAAGUCUUCUGAACAAGACUUCUCACCGUGUUCAUUCUUCAGGUGCGUCAUUUGAUUCAUGUGUGGACCUUGACGUUUGCACCUCUUGAUACGGUGUAACCCAUGUUCUUCAUUUGCCCGACAGUUCAAAGUGCGGCGUUGGCAGCAUCCUGCUCAGUGUGUUUGUGCUCGUAGAUCCAGGUCCUUCACUUGGUGGAGUCUUGGAGUUGUAAAACUCCUCCAUGUUUUGCUCGAAGUGUACCUGCUUAUAGAGACAAGGCAGAGAUCAAGUGCAUGGGCCAUAUUGGUGGAAAACACCAACAAAACCAAAAGUGUAUUUGUUCUUCUCUAACCUUAAGCAUAGUGAGCAAGACAAAGUUGAUGGAAAAUAAGAUCAUGAGUGUAGCAUUUAAAACAUUUGUCAGAUCAGAUCGCUCAACCUAAUGGAAAGAUAAUCUAUCUAUAUUUAUGUUUUUUAUAUAUAUCUUACAAAGAUUGAGUGUGCAAUAUUUUAGCUCAUAUGAUUAGGAGUGUGGGAUCACAAGGACUAAACAUGUUGAAUCGAUU